CCUACGGGAGGCAGCAGUGGGGAAUAUUGGACAAUGGGCGGAAGCCUGAUCCAGCAACGCCGCGUGAGGGAUGACGGCCUUCGGGUUGUAAACCUCUUUCACCUGUGACGCGGUAGCAGGAGAAGAAGCACCGGCCAACUACGUGCCAGCAGCCGCGGUAAUACGUAGGGUGCGAGCGUUGUCCGGAAUUAUUGGGCGUAAAGGGCUCGUAGGCGGUUUGUCGCGUCGGGAGUGAAAACACCGGGCUUAACUCGGUGCUUGCUUUCGAUACGGGCAGACUAGAGGUAUGCAGGGGAGAACGGAAUUCCUGGUGUAGCGGUGAAAUGCGCAGAUAUCAGGAGGAACACCGGUGGCGAAGGCGGUUCUCUGGGCAUUCCUGACGCUGAGGAGCGAAAGUGUGGGGAGCGAACAGGAUUAGAUACCCUUGUAGUC
rnacentral:rRNA from 1 species